rnacentral:rRNA from 1 species
GCGUGGGUGAUGAAGGCCUUAGGGUUGUAAAGCCCUUUCGGCGGGGAAGAUAAUGACGGUACCCGCAGAAGAAGCCCCGGCUAACUUCGUGCCAGCAGCCGCGGUAAUACGAAGGGGGCUAGCGUUGCUCGGAAUCACUGGGCGUAAAGCGCACGUAGGCGGCUUCUUAAGUCAGGGGUGAAAUCCUGGAGCUCAACUCCAGAACUGCCUUUGAUACUGGGAGGCUCGAGUCCGGGAGAGGUGAGUGGAACUGCGAGUGUAGAGGUGAAAUUCGU